CCCGCUGAACACGCUGCUGUUGGCCUCACCCUUUGGAUGGAACUUGGAGCUGCUGGGGCAGAGCUGGGGUUUGGGGCAAAUCAAGUUGAGGGGUUGGGGGCUCUGGCAGAAGGUGAGGAGUCUCUGGAGCAUAAAAGCAAGGAGCAGCGGCUGAGGCUGUGGAUGCAGGGUGUGUGUUCAUGAGGUCACCAAGGAGCACUGGGACUGAAGCCCCUUUCCGGGGAACCCCGGCUCUGCGUCUCGAAGUUCUGGAGACUGAGGCCCCUCUGCACCACGCCACUGCAGGCUCUAGCCGCUCUUCCAGGCUUUCUACUCCCUCUGCUGGCCGUUCUCACACAUGACACCCGCUCGGAGUCGAAGCAGAAGAGCUGAGGGAGCUGAAGGAGGAGCCCAGACAGGUCCCCUCACUAAAGCCCAUUUAGAAGCCCAGGAGAAAGUAUAAGCCGGGCGCGGUGGCUCACGCCUGUAAUCCCAGCACUUUGGGAGGCUAAGUCGGGUGGAUCACGAGGUCAAGAGAUCGAGACCAUCCUGGCCAACAUGUUGAAACCUCGUCUCUACUAAGAAUACAAAAAUUAGUGGGCACCUGUAAUCCCAGCUACUCAGAAGGCUGAGGCAGGAGAAUCACUUGAAACUGGGAGGCGGAGUUUGCAGUGAGCCGAGAUCGUGCCACUGCACUCUAGCCUGAUGACAGAGCGAGACUCCGUCUCAAAAAAAAAAAAAAAAAGAAAGGAA